UACGUAGGGGGCAAGCGUUGUCCGGAUUUAUUGGGCGUAAAGAGCUCGUAGGCGGUUUGGUAAGUCAGGUGUGAAAUCUCCACGCUCAACGUGGAGGGGCCACCUGAUACUGCCAUGACUGGAGUCCGGUAGAGGAGUGUGGAAUUCCCGGUGUAGCGGUGAAAUGCGUAGAGAUCGGGAGGAACACCAGUGGCGAAGGCGGGUCUCUGGACAGUUCCUGACACUGAGACACGAGGCCAGGGGAGCAAACGGG
rnacentral:rRNA from 1 species